rnacentral:rRNA from 1 species
AACGAACGUUAGCGGCGGGCCUAACACAUGCAAGUCGAGCGAGAAAGUGGGCUUCGGGCCAUCAGUAAAGCGGCGGACGGGUGAGUAACACGUAGGUAAUCUUCCCUUGAGCGGGGGACAACGUUUCGAAAGGAACGCUAAUACCGGCAGUACGUUCCCGGGAGCUCUGGCCCCUGGGAGGAAAGCUAGGUCGCGAAGAUCCGGCACUCGAGGAGGAGCCUGCGUCGCAUCAGCCGGUUGGUGGGGGUAACGGCCACCAAGGCGAAGACGCGUAGCUGGUC